rnacentral:lncRNA from 1 species
GCUACUGGGUGUAAAAGAUAAAUCUUAUUCUAUCUGUUCUUAAUGAGUUUUAGAUAAUUUUAGUUGUAUUUCUUUGUAAUUUUGUGUUGUACAAAGAUUAAUUUAACAUUUUCUCUGGAAGUAACAAUUUAGAAAGAUAAUAUGCUUCAUUGGUGUUGUGUUUUGAAGUGUGAAAUGCAAAGUAAUUGUGAUAAAGUCAAGAUAAAGUUCACUUUUAAACUGAACUAAAUAAGGUAUCUGAGAGACAACAAUGGUUAAAUGCAAUACAAUGUACAGGUUUUACUAGCGAAAUGAAAAUUUUCCUGUCCUGUCUGCUGUAAUCAUUUUAUAUCUGGAAAACCAGCCGACUUAAUCGAUAAUAACAAUCUCCAGAUUGGGUUCCUUCAAUAAAUAUGGGCUAUAAACACAAUGAAAUAAGUUCCCCAAAAUCUAAAAUGGAGUGGUAUCAAAGGAGAAUUAAAGGAAAAAAUAUUCAUAUUGAAAUUAUUUAUAAGGCACUGGACUGUCUUAAAUUCUACAACAAUACUAGAAUCAGCUGAGAGAAGUGGUCUACAAAAAACCAGGAAGGAAACGGAAUAUGUGGCUACGAAAGGCAAAAGAAAGGUUUACAAAGCAAAUGUGACACAUUUUUUUGAAAUAUUUAGGAAUAUCAGUAAAUUGCAUUAAAAAAUGUAUGAAAAGAUUUUGUUCAAUAAAAAUGUUUAUAUUUA